rnacentral:rRNA from 1 species
AGCGAACGCUGGCGGCAGGCUUAACACAUGCAAGUCGAACGCUCAUCUUCGGAUGGGAGUGGCAGACGGGUGAGUAACACGUGGGAACGUGCCCUUCGGUUCGGAACAACUCAGGGAAACUUGAGCUAAUACCGGAUACGCCCUUACGGGGAAAGAUUUAUUGCCGAGGGAUCGGCCCGCGUCUGAUUAGCUAGUUGGUGAGGUAACGGCUCACCAAGGCGACGAUCAGUAGCUGGUCUGAGAGGAUGAUCAGCCACACUGGGACUGAGACACGGCCCAGACUCCUACGGGAGGCAGCAGUGGGGAAUAUUGGACAAUGGGCGCAAGCCUGAUCCAGCCAUGCCGCGUGAGUGAUGAAGGCCUUAGGGUUGUAAAGCUCUUUCGACGGGGACGAUAAUGACGGUACCCGUAGAAGAAGCCCCGGCUAACUUCGUGCCAGCAGCCGCGGUAACAC